AUUGAACGCUGGCGGCAGGCCUAACACAUGCAAGUCGAACGAGUGGCGGACGGGUGAGUAAUGUCUGGGAAACUGCCUGAUGGGGGGGGAUAACUACUGGAAACGGUAGCUAAUACCGCAUACCCUCAGUUUAGCCCAGAUGGGAAUGGCUUGUUGGGGGGGUAACGGCUCACCAGGGCGACGAUCCCUAGCUGGUCUGAGAGGAUGACCGGCAACACGGGAACGGAGACACGGUCCAGAUUCCUACGGGAGGCAGCAGGGGGGAAUAUUGGACAAUGGGCGCAAGCCUGAUGCGUACAUGCCGCGUGUAGGAAGCAGGCCUCCGGGUUGUAAAGUACUUUCAGCGGGGAGGCGUUACCCGCAGAAGAAGCACCGGCUAACUCCGUGCCAGCAGCCGCGGUAAUUC
rnacentral:rRNA from 1 species